rnacentral:rRNA from 1 species
AGAACGAACGCUGACGGCAUGCCUAACACAUGCAAGUCGGACGCUUUCGGGGGUUUCGGCCUCCGAGGGAGUGGCGGACGGGUGAGUAGCGCGUGGGAACCUGCCCCUUUGUGGGGGAUAACCGAGGGAAACUUCGGCUAAUACCGCAUGCGCCCGGGGGUAACUCCGGGGAAAGAUUUAUCGCAGAGGGAGGGGCCCGCGUCGGAUUAGGUAGUUGGUGGGGUAACGGCCUACCAAGCCGGUGAUCCGUAGCUGGUCUGAGAGGAUGAUCAGCCACACUGGGACUGAGACACGGCCCAGACUCCUACGGGAGGCAGCAGUGGGGAAUAUUGGACAAUGGGCGCAAGCCUGAUCCAGCAAUGCCGCGUGAGUGAUGAAGGCCUUAGGGUUGUAAAGCUCUUUCGGCGGGGACGAUGAUGACGGUACCCGCAGAAGAGCCCGGCUAACUUCGCGCCAGCAGCCGC